UUUGCACUGACCGUACCAUCUCAAGGGACUCAGUAAAUGAAAAAAAGAUAGUGACAUUGCCAGAAUGUGGGUAAUGAACAUUGCCAUUCUUUCCUGAUUCUGCACCUGGAUUCCAGCAAGUUAUGAGGAUGAAUCUAAAUGAAAUAAAUGGAAGGAAAAAGAGUCCCAGAUGUUUGUAGAGAGCAUGUAUAAUUACACUGAGUAUAAAUGAGAAAAUUCUAGCAGAUACGUACAUUGACUUCUGAAAAGAUAAAGAGGCUUCUGUUUUCUUUAUAAGUAAGUAUUGAAAGACAUUCAUUUCCGGAUAGCAAUAUCAUAUUAUCACAAAGAAUAGCCUCAAACACACAUACUUAAACAUUAAGAUUAAUAUGAUAUUACUAAAAGACAGCAUACCCACAUAUCCCCAAUAUGUUUUUUACAUUAGGAAAGAUAAUUCACAGAAAACACAUCUAACACACACCUGACAGACUCACACAAACCAAGCACACAUACCCACAGAUAUAAACAUGAAUAUGCACACACAUUCUCUAUAUCUAUACAAAUAUUUUCUUUAAAUGGCACUACAUGUUCUAUACUCACUAACUUUUUUUUUCUAUCAUUCCCACUUAUUUUUAGAUAACAUCUAUACUUCUCUGCAAUAUUUUCCUCUUACAGAGUGACUCACAGGAUUGACUGUGGUGUUCUGUCCCUGGCUUCAGUUCCUGAGUCUGGCAGGUUAUUUAAGGCAGCACUAUUUAUCUACCAACCAAAGUCUUCUCACAGUGUAGCUGCAUCUUUCAUGCCAAAGGCAUGGGCUCUCCUCAGGCGAAGUUCAUGAGGGUGGCCUGAGCUAUUAUUUGUAGGUGGUAUUUGUUCAUUUUAUUUUUGUUACAUCAAAAAGUAGAUUGAAACCAAGGUUUUGUUUUUUGUUUAAACAUUUAUGUGCUUUUAUCCAAGUAUACAAGUAUAUUCCCUACUUUUUCCAAGGAAGCAAUGUUGUAGCCAGCAACAAAUGUAUACAUAAAAUUUUAACCAUCUGUUAUUCCUUUAACUAAACAAUAUCAAGAUUAAAGAGACUACCAGUAUUUUACAGGAAUACAAGAAUAAGCCUACUGUUAACAGAAUAAAAAGCGUGUGCACAUU
rnacentral:lncRNA from 10 species